UACGGAGGGGGCUAGCGUUGUUCGGAUUUACUGGGCGUAAAGCGCACGUAGGCGGCAUAUCAAGUUAGGCGUGAAAGGCCUGGGCUCAACCCGGGAACUGCGCUUAAGACUGAUAAGCUAGAGUCCGGGAGAGGGCAGUGGAAUUCCCAGUGUAGAGGUGAAAUUCGUAGAUAUUGGGAAGAACACCGGUGGCGAAGGCGGCUGCCUGGCCCGGUACUGACGCUGAUGUGCGAAAGCGUGGGGAGCAAAC
rnacentral:rRNA from 1 species